UACUCGAAAUGAUCUGAAGGAUCAGAUCAGCCUUGGCCUGAGAGUUUGAGCUGGUACACGGAUGGCAGUAGCCUCACGGUUAAAGGUAAGCAUGACUACCACACCUCACUGGAGCUUUUCCUUACAGAAAAUGGAAACGAUCGCAGAAAACCACAACCGGACAUAAUGCAGAGAUCAAUGGAUCAUGGGGAGCCAGCCCCAGUGGAUAUAGCUACACCACAGCUCCUGCAUCUCUGGCCAAUGGAGCAUUGUGGAAGAGAGGGGCAUAAGGAAUCUAAGAGCCUGAAUGACAGAUGUCUGCUGUGAAGCACUGUUCUAUAAAUGUCUAUAUAAACAAGAUAGGGACAAGAGCAAAAAACAAUGGAUCUAUUAAUGUAGAAGGAGAAAAAACUUCUCAGGGUCUAACACCUAGGCAAAAACCUACCAGCAACAAUUGACUUCUGGGAGAAAGAGGCUUAGCCUCUCCCAGAGAUGAGCCUUUUUCCUCCUAUUGGUUGUCUGAUGCUGAGUUGUUGUCAGCCUCAAAAUCGUAUAUGCAAAAAUAGCAAAAAUGGACUCAGUGGAUUGUAAAUAAAUUGGAUAUAUUUGUGCACACACAAAGUGUGCAAUAAAUAAAAGAAAAUGAGGUUAGCAGUUUGAGAUUGGAGAUUCAUGGAAGAAGUUUGAGGGAGGGAAACUGGGGGGGGGGCGUGCAGAGGGAGGAAAGGGCCAAGAAAGUGGUGCAAUUCUACUUCAAUUAAAAUAUUUUAAAAAUAAAAUAUUUAAUCAAUUUUCACAAUUAAAAUAUCAUGUAAUGAACUUAUACCUUAUGUCCAACUUCCUUGUGACAUUUCUAUGAUUAAAGAUCCCUUUGAUCAAUGUGUCUCAAUGUUAA